AAACUAUUUUGUUUGUUUUGAAAACAAAUUUUAAGAUUUUAUCUUGUAGUUUG
rnacentral:tRNA from 1 species